AAGCCUCCUGGCCUGCCAUCCCUUCCCUGUCCCUGGACCCACUUGCCGCCCGAGUGGCUCUAGAAAAGCUCACACCGCAGGGGAACCUUAGGUCACACAGGGGUGCCCAGUAGUACCCACCUCAAAGGACUGGUAGGAGGAGGAAAGUGGUACAUACGAGAGCAAUUCCAUAUUGAUGCUAGUAACAACUAGGAAAGUAGCAGUAACAACUAGGAGAGUAGCUUUGCACUAGUCACAACCCCAAGUCCCAAACAGAUCUACAUGGCACUAUAGCUAUUCACUUUCCCAA
rnacentral:lncRNA from 1 species